rnacentral:rRNA from 1 species
AUUGAACGCUGGCGGCAUGCUUUACACAUGCAAGUCGAACGGCAGCACGGACUUCGGUCUGGUGGCGAGUGGCGAACGGGUGAGUAAUACAUCGGAACGUACCCAGUAAUGGGGGAUAACUAUCCGAAAGGAUAGCUAAUACCGCAUACGCCCUACGGGGGAAAGAGGGGGAUCGAAAGACCUCUUGUUAUUUGAGCGGCCGAUGGCUGAUUAGUUAGUUGGUGGGGUAAAGGCCUACCAAGGCAACGAUCAGUAGCGGGUCUUAGAGGACGAUCCGCCACACUGGAACUGAGACACGGUCCAGACUCCUACGGGAGGCAGCAGUGGGGAAUCUUGGACAAUGGGCGCAAGCCUGAUCCAGCAAUGCCGCGUGCGUGAAGAAGGCCUUCGGGUUGUAAAGCGCUUUUGUCAGGGAGCAAAUCCUUGUGGCUAAUACCCACCGGGGAUGAGAGUACCUGAAGAAUAGGGACCGGCUAACUACGUGCCAGCCGCCGCGGUAAAAC